AUAGAAUAAAACUUUUAUUCAAGAUACAACAAGUUAUUUUCACUCUCUGAGAGUGCAUUAUUUAUUUAUAUUAAUUAUUCUAAGCCAAACAUAAAUCUUAGCCGUUGAAUACAUAUAUAGCCAUGAUUGUUCAAACUUAGGAUAUAUCCCAUCUAGAUCUAUUUCUUCUUUGUAAUCUUGGUAGUGGUGAUAGUGGCGACGAUAGUUACUGAGGUUUUGGAUGAGGUAGCAUAAUCCUAGCUCCACUAGAACAACUUGUUGGAUUAGCUUGUGAAGGGCAUGAAAUGAAACUAGUGCCACCCAAAUUAGUGCACAAUGUAACUUCACUCAAGUAAAUAUGAGUUCUAUUUGUUGCAUCAAUUGGAAUACAUGUUAGGUAAACAGUAAGGGGAGUUGAAACAAACACCUUUUGUAUAGCAUCAACAAUAUCUUUUCUAGCAAAAGACAAGCUAUCACAAGCAAUAAUCCCACUUGUUUUCAAGUAAUUGAACAAGUUGCCCUUUUGAAGCAUGUUGUUGAUCUUUAUUGCUGUGUUGAAGUAUACUUGUGGUGUGGUUCCUCCACACGCUCCAUGCGCUCGCCACUCGUGCUUCCAUAGAUCCCUUUUUUGGGCGUUUUCUCUAAGCGGUGGCCAGAAUGCCAUGAGCUGAUUCUCUAACGUCGUUGUAAAUAGUUUAUUCCAAUCUGGAUCUGGUGGUACAGGGCAUGUAAUACUAUAUCCUCUUUGAUCUGCUGGCCAAACUCCAUGGAGUGUUAAAUUAUGCUGAAGAAUUGGUUCUUUGCAUCUGCCUGGUGGUGCUGCUGAAUUUAGUCCUAUACAAAAAGUUGGUGGCCAUUGAAGCACAAAUUUCAAGAGUGAUGGAUUUUGAGAGUCAACAGAAAUUGUUAUUUCAAGUAGCAAAAUGACAAGAAGAAAGAAGUUAACAAGUUUCUUCAUGUUGUGUG
rnacentral:misc_RNA from 1 species